rnacentral:rRNA from 1 species
AGAGGUCCCGCCUGCCCAGUGACUCUGUUCAACGGCCGCGGUAUCCUAACCGUGCGAAGGUAGCGUAAUCACUUGUUCUUUAAAUAAGGACUAGUAUGAAUGGCACCACGAGGGUUAUACUGUCUCCCUCUUUUAAUCAGUGAAACUAAUCUCCCCGUGAAGAAGCGUGGAUAAUACUAUAAGACGAGAAGACCCUAUGGAGCUUUAAACUAGUUUCCCAACAACCUCACCUCCUUUUUAAGCUUAUGCUUUUAAUAAUCAGUCCGGUUCUAUGGGAACAAGUUUUAGGUUGGGGUGACCACGGAGUAAAAAACAACCUCCGAGCUGUAAGGGACUACUCCCUGAACAACAAACUACAACUUUAUGUACCAAUAUAUUGACACCUAUUGACCCAAUAUUUUGAUCAACGAACCAAGUUACCCUAGGGAUAACAGCGCAAUCCGCUUCAAGAGCUCCUAUCGACAAGCGGGUUUACGACCUCGAUGUUGGAUCAGGGUGUCCCAGUGGUGCAGCCGC